GUACAGAGGGGUUUCGGCAGAUUUCCUUUCCCUGGGGAAACCCGGGAGAGGAGAAUGACCCGGUAGCGGCUGCCAGCUCUCCCGAGAGAGGCUCACGUGGCGUGGGCGUUGCCGAGGCAGUGGCGCCCGCACGCAGGGAGGGCCAUGACGCGUCGCUGCCACCGGGCUCGGAGAGUAGGAGGAUCUGGAUUGUCAGGUGAGAAAGCCCUUCAGAGAAAAAAACCCUUCCUUAGAUGCAGCUGUGGCAUCUCUGCCACUGAACUUCCAUGUGCACAAGCUUGGAGCCAUGACCCUGGCAAGCCUGUAUCAGCAUCUGAACAUUCUCUCAGUGAAGACCCUUUUCUCAUACGCAACCUGAACCUCCCCUGAUGAAACUUCUGGCCAUUUCCUUGGGCUUGAUCAUCCAGCCAGAUUUUCACACAGCAGAGUAUGCCUGUCCAAGCCAUGGGCUGCCAACAUCUCCAAGACAAUAUUGUGUGAGACUAAAGUCAAAGGCCUUACUUAAGUCUAGACUGACUACAUCACAGAAUUUCCUCAUCGACUAGGUGACAUGGACAGUGGUAUCAAAUGCACCCUCAGCAAAUUUGCAGAGGACACCAAACUGAGUGGUGCAGAUGACAUGCUAGAGGAAAGAAAUGCCAUCCAGAGGGACCUUGACAGGCUUCAGAGUCUUCUAUAAGAGGAACACUUAAUUCCCACCAAGCUGAUCCAAAGCUGAACCGUGUGAAUGUCUUGGGAUUAAAGAGAAAGAGAGGACAACCAGUCAUGCUAAAGACUGAGACAUAGGAAAAGCAGAGGUCUGUAUGUUGGAGGAGAGGUAAGAGAAGAGUCCAUCUCUUUGUGCCCAUGUCUGCAUCUGCCAGGGGAAACUAAGGAAGAAUGGAAGUACCACUUCCUACCACGUACUCUGAUAUCACAGUACUUUACAGCCUGAAGUCUUUUAAAAUUUUGUGAUGGACUGUGUGGAAAUUUAUCCCACUGGGUAACCCAUCCGUGUCAUAUUCUAAUCCUUAUGUUUGUAACCUAUUUCUGCUACCUCCCAUCUGCCUUUUCUUUGAAGCUUAUAAUUUACAUUGUGUUUGUGCCACCACCCACAUUCUGCCUCACGACAGUGAACAGGAAAGAGUGCUUCCUGUAAAUACUGGGAGAUACCCAACCCUAAUGACCAUAAAGAGCACUGGGGCAAGCACAUUCAGAAGUACCAGCAGUUCUGUAUGUACCAUGUUGCUCUAGGCAUUCCUCCUGAUCACUAGAACAAGAAAAUGUAUAAUUUGGAAAGUUGAGGUUGUAUGUAUGUCAUUCUGAAAUUGUUUAUUUAUUUCCAUGGAAACUACAGCAGAUACAAAGAGCACAAUAACACUAUUUGAUCGAGCAAAUUCUCAGCUACAAAACACUGCUUUUCCAACAUAGUCACCACCAUUAGCUGUGCAUUUUCACCAGUGACGAACAAGAGCCUGCAUGCUGCUCUUAUAAAAAUCUGCUGAAAUGCACCACCCACCACCUCACUGUGCACACAUCUACAGUUUGUCUCCAUAAACAUUCAGCAAAUGUAGAUGGAUGACAGUGGAUGCCAUUUUCUCUUCACGAAGAAAUUCAGUUCCACACUUCUGCUUCAUAUGCACUUCUGCAUCAGAUGUUGUUUUGUCAGACUGCCCCUCUGCUGCCAUCUGUUGCACAGCAGCAAAAUACAAUAGAAUAUUGGUGGGAAGGUUCAACCUCUACUGUUACACAACCAACAUCCACUUCUGAUGUCAUGGAUCUACAUAAUAAAUUAGGAGGCAUUGUUUUCGGAGCAACUUUCCUAAUUACUGUUACAACAAGCAAUCUUUUGUAUCAUAUGCUAACUGCACACAUAAUCAGAUGUAUUUUCAAUAUAUCUAUGUGUCUAUGCAAGACAAGGAACAGUGGACUAAGCUUGUUCUCAACACUGCAAUUCAUAGGCAUAUAAAUUCUUUGAAACAUUACUAAAAUAAACAUGAAAUUACCUACUUGAGGAGCCUGGGCAUAGCAAAAAAACAUGGGUAAUGAUACAGAAAGUAGAGUUUAUCCUUAUCUACUAACUUAUUUCCAUCAGUGUGUAGUGUAUCUUUAUUACUUCAGAUAAGUGUCCUACUUCACGUUAGAGAAUCUCAUAUGCUUUUGUAAGUACUACAGUAUAAAUCAUACUAAUGCAUAUUCUACUUUGUUAGUAAGCUGUAACAUCUAAUGAAUGAAAAACAGUGUAAUUAACAAGCAAAGCGCUUUUCCACACAGGAACAGAGGUGGGUGGGCUUUCAAGUAGCAUGGGGGAAGAAUGCUGUGCCCAAUUUGCAUCCCAAGCACGGGGAGAGGCAUUGGAGGUUCACCCCACGGAGCAGCAGAUUUUCUUCUAAGAAAGUACAGAAGCUUCUCUAGCCAGGCUUCCUGGCCAGCUUCAUCUUAUUUUGUGUAACCAGGUCUCUCCUCUUUCACAGCUGCUGCCCUGGAGCAGCAGGGUGCUGUGUACCCCACACAGCCUGUGGUUGCAAGAAGCAUAAAACCCAUCUUCGCCCACACAAAGACAGAGUUAGACAGAGGGGGAUAUGUCCAGAUGCUUCUCCCAGGGAAACUAACAGAAAAGAAAGAAAGAGUCACCUCUGCUUGCCCUCCUGCGUUCUUUGUGUUGUCCUCCCACAAAUGCAUUUCCUGAGUUUCACCCACACCAGAAACAGCUUUCUCAUUCUCCUAACACAAUUCCAGUUUCUUACUAAAUCUGUCUUCUAUAUCCACAUUUUUUCAGGACAUUUACAACAGGCAGACACCUCCAUUCACAAAUCUCUACAAAACAGCAUUUUCAGGAGCUAGAACAGCCUAACAUUUGUAUUAUAUGUGUAUGACACAGAUUCUAGGAGACCUUUUUUCUCUUCGUUUUCUAAUAUUUCAAGCCAUCUUUUCUCCAUUUCAUUUCUAAUUCUGUCACAAUGUGUUGAUUGCAAAGUGCUUGCAGUAUGAACCUGCCCUUUUGCAUUUACAUGUGUUAAAAAUGCUGUGUAGAAACAAUAGCAUCCUUUGACUUCAUUGUGACUAAAAUUGAACCCUUAGUUUUUAAAAUAAAACUAUUUCCUCAUUUUAAGUGACUCAAGUGAUUUAAUUUUGUCCAGAUGUGGUGCAUGCAGUUUGGACUUACAAAUCCAAACAUUCAUUUUGAUCUAUUUCUGUAGGAUUGACAGG
ensembl:lncRNA